AACGAACGCUGGCGGCAGGCUUAACACAUGCAAGUCGAGCGCGGGCCUUCGGGCCUGAGCGGCGGACGGGUGAGUAACGCGUGGGAACGUGCCCUCUUCUUCGGAAUAGCCCUGGGAAACUGGGAGUAAUGCCGGAUACGGCCGAGAGGCGAAAGAUUUAUCGGAGGAGGAUCGGCCCGCGUCUGAUUAGGUAGUUGGUGGGGUAAUGGCCUACCAAGCCGACGAUCAGUAGCUGGUUUGAGAGGAUGAUCAGCCACACUGGGACUGAGACACGGCCCAGACUCCUACGGGAGGCAGCAGUGGGGAAUCUUAGACAAUGGGGGCAACCCUGAUCUAGCCAUGCCGCGUGAGUGAUGAAGGCCUUAGGGUUGUAAAGCUCUUUCAGCUGGGAAGAUAAUGACGGUACCAGCAGAAGAAGCCCCGGCUAACUCCGUGCCAGCCGCCGCUGUAACAC
rnacentral:rRNA from 1 species